AUUGAACGCUGGCGGCAUGCCUUACACAUGCAAGUCGAACGGCAGCACGGGAGCUUGCUCCUGGUGGCGAGUGGCGAACGGGUGAGUAAUACAUCGGAACGUACCUUAUCGUGGGGGAUAACGCAGCGAAAGCUGUGCUAAUACCGCAUACGCCCUGAGGGGGAAAGCGGGGGAUCGCAAGACCUCGCGCGAUUAGAGCGGCCGAUGCCUGAUUAGCUAGUUGGUGGGGUAAAAGCCCACCAAGGCGACGAUCAGUAGCUGGUCUGAGAGGACGAUCAGCCACACUGGGACUGAGACACGGCCCAGACUCCUACGGGAGGCAGCAGUGGGGAAUUUUGGACAAUGGGGGCAACCCUGAUCCAGCAAUGCCGCGUGAGUGAAGAAGGCCUUCGGGUUGUAAAGCUCUUUUGUCAGGGAAGAAACACCGGCUCUAACACAGUCCGGGAAUGACGGUACCUGAAGAAUAAGCACCGGCUAACUACGUGCCAGCCGCCGCAGUAA
rnacentral:rRNA from 1 species